AUUGAACGCUGGCGGCAGGCCUAACACAUGCAAGUCGAGCGAGAGUCGGACGGGUGUGUAAUGUAUGGGGACUGCCCGUUAGAGGGGGAUAAAUCCUGGAAAAGGUAGCUAAUAUCCCAUACUCCAGGAUAACCCAUAUGGGAUUAGCUAGUAGGUGGGGUAAUGGCUCACCUAGGCGACGAUCCCUAGCUGGUCUGAGAGGAUGAUCAGCCACACUGGAACUGAGACACGGCCCAGACUCCUACGGAGGCAGCAGUGGGGAAUAUUGCACAAUGGGCGCAAGCCUGAUGCAGCCAUGCCGCGUGUAUGAAGAAGGCCCUAGGGUUGUAAAGUACUUUCAGUCGGGAGGCGUUACCGGCAGAAGAAGCACCGGCUAACUCCGUGCCAGCAGCCGCGGUAAUUC
rnacentral:rRNA from 1 species